rnacentral:rRNA from 1 species
AUGCACGCUGGCGGCGUGCCUCAUACAUGCCAGUCGCGCGAACAGACGAGGAGCUUGCUCCUCUGACGUUAGCGGCGGACGGGUGAGUAACACGUGGAUAACCUACCUAUAAGACUGGGAUAACUUCGGGAAACCGGAGCUAAUACCGGAUAACAUGUUGAACCGCAUGGUUCAACAGUGAAAGACGGUCUUGCUGUCACUUAUAGAUGGAUCCGCGCCGCAUUAGCUAGUUGGUAAGGUAACGGCUUACCAAGGCAACGAUGCGUAGCCGACCUGAGAGGGUGAUCGGCCACACUGGAACUGAGACACGGUCCAGACUCCUACGGGAGGCAGCAGUAGGGAAUCUUCCGCAAUGGGCGAAAGCCUGACGGAGCAACGCCGCGUGAGUGAAGAAGGUCUUCGGAUCGUAAAACUCUGUUAUUAGGGAAGAACAAAUGUGUAAGUAACUAUGCACGUCUUGACGGUACCUAAUCAGAAAGCCACGGCUAACUACGUG